GAAGGUGUUAGCACCCAAAGUGUCCUAGGUACUCCUAGGGAGCCCUUUUUGUGUGCAUAUGUAUUUUGUACAAAGUGAUGUUUACAAACAAAUAGAAUGGGGGGAUGAGAAAAGAAUUCAUUAAUUAUAUUUUUGUGUUUGACAAGACCUUCAGUCUUGUGCCUACGUACCAACAUAAAAAUGAGGCACAAAGGCCUAAAAUGGUUUGAAUGAGUUAG
rnacentral:lncRNA from 1 species